UAAACACAUUCAUAUUCUCUGAGAACUGGAAGUCUUCACAAAGCAAGAUCUUUGCUUGUGAGGAUAUUUGCCACCUAAUACCCUUUUGUUUUCUUUACUGAACUGUGCUUCCUCCCUCUUCCCCUUAAUUCUCUAUUACUGCUCUUAUUUUUCAGUUUUACCAUUUAAAGAUAUUUGUUAUAUAGAAGUGAUAAGUGAAGAUUUCAUGAUUUAAUGUCUUUGAAGGAAGAAUACUUUCAAAAUCUAAGACAAAUAGAAAACAAUUUGAUGGCUCUUGAAUUUUGAUCUUUGUCUGCCAUGAAGAUGUCCAUUUCUCUUAUUCUUCCUGUGAUAGAAGAUUGAAUGCCACCAUGAAGAUAGGUAGUAUAGUUGGUCCUAGAAAAUCCUGCUUCAGAUACUAUGAAGGGAUUUGGGGCAUCUGCAAUGGAUGAAAUAUUCGUACAUGAAAACAAAAAAUAGGAGAAGAAAUGAUACUAUAAAAUCAAUUGCUGGGCUCUAUGACUGUCAUCCAGAGGAGGAAAAGGUCAUUGUGGUUUGAGGACAACAAAGGAAAGCCAACUGGCAAAGUUAUAAUUAUACAACUGAGCUGUCUCUGUACUAGCUUCUGAAAGUGGAAAAUAGGCCUGAAGUUUGACCCAAUCUGAUAGAAGAAAAAAAGAAGACACGAGUUAAGGAUGAUACAUUGCACUGAGCUUUAAAUGUCUUUCUUGUUAGAUUCUAUCAAAACUUUAAUGUAUUUUAAGUGUAAGUUUUGUAUUGUAUUUUAUUGAA